CAGUCGCCGCGGUAAUACGAAGGGGGCUAGCGUUGCUCGGAAUGACUGGGCGUAAAGGGCGCGUAGGCGGCGAUCAAAGUCAGGCGUGAAAUUCCUGGGCUCAACCUGGGGGCUGCGCUUGAUACUUGGUUGCUUGAGUGGGGAAGAGGGUCGUGGAAUUCCCAGUGUAGAGGUGAAAUUCGUAGAUAUUGGGAAGAACACCGGUGGCGAAGGCGGCGACCUGGUCCUUGACUGACGCUGAGGCGCGAAAGCGUGGGGAGCAAACAGGAUUAGAGACCCCAGUAGUCCCUGUCUCUUAUAC
rnacentral:rRNA from 1 species